GGGGAUUUAGCUCAGCGGUAGAGUGCUUGCCUAGCAAGCAUAAGGCCCUGGGUUCGGUCCCCAGCUCCA
rnacentral:tRNA from 1 species